GUGUCAGCAGCCGCGGUAAGACAGAGGUGGCGAGCGUUGUUCGGAUUUAUUGGGCGUAAAGCGUACGCAGGCGGUUUGGUAAGUCAGAGGUGAAAGCCCACAGCUUAACUGUGGCACUGCCUUUGAUACUGCCUUUCUAGAGUGCAUGAGGGGGAAGCGGAAUUCCGAGUGUAGAGGUGAAAUUCGUAGAUAUUCGGAGGAACACCGGUGGCGAAGGCGGCUUCCUGGCAUGUAACUGACGCUCAUGUACGAAAGCGUGGGGAGCAAACAGGAUUAGAAACCCUCGUAGUCC
rnacentral:rRNA from 1 species